rnacentral:rRNA from 1 species
UACGUAGGGGGCUAGCGUUGUCCGGAAUCAUUGGGCGUAAAGCGCGCGUAGGCGGCCAGCUAAGUCCGGUGUGAAAGUCACAGGCUCAACCUGUGAAUGCCGCUGGAAACUGUCUGGCUAGAGUCCGGAAGGGGCGAGUGGAAUUCCUGGUGUAGCGGUGAAAUGCGCAGAUAUCAGGAGGAACACCAAUGGCGAAGGCAGCUCGCUGGAACGGUACUGACGCUGAGGCGCGAAAGCGUGGGGAGCGAACAGG